rnacentral:lncRNA from 1 species
AAUAUUUAAACACAAUCCACAAGUCUUGCAAAUACCGAUACAAACACUCCCAAAACUUGGUGUUACUGAGUACAUGAUCAUCUAUAUAUUACAAGUCUCUAAAACGUGGUCUAUAAUAAUCUGAGACCAAAUACAAUAAACAAAAGGAUAGGGAAGGAGAGACAAGGUCUGCGAAAUAUGACAGCUACCUCUGAAUCUCCAGAAUAUCGACUGUGUAAAAGAAUCAACACCCACUGUAUCCAGGAUCACCUGGAUCUGCACAUGAAGUGCACGGUGUAGUAUGAGUACAACCAACUCGGUAAGUAACAAUAAUAAAUAAAGAACUGAAAGUAGUGACGAGCUUCUUAUCUAAGUCCAAAUACAAUACUUUCUAAUAUAAAAGAGUAGACAUUCUCUCAAGUUCAACCUUUAAAAUUUCAGUGAAAUUUCAUAUCAUGUUUGACCGAAACAGAAAAUAAUAUUUUUCCGAAAUUUCCAAAAUAGUGAUAUAUGACAGCUAAAAUGCAGCAAAUAAUGGAAUCAAUGCAUCCUCUUAGAGUAUCAGUCACUCAAUCCUCCCAUUCACUCCAAACUCACAGUCACUCUUUCCUCACAGUCGCUCAUUCCUAACAGUCGCUCAUUCCUCAUAGUCACUCUUUCCUCACAGUCGCUCAUUCCUCACAGUCACUCAUCACUCGGCACUCAGUAGGUACCUGUGCUCACUGGGGGUGUGUACAGACUCCGGAGGGGCUCCUUCAUCCAAAGCGCUAUAACAAGCCAAUCAUGGCAUAUAACAAUGAAACAUGCUGCGGCGCGCAGCUCGAUCCCAUAAAUAUUCUCACAAUUAGGCCCUCAGCCUCACUCAGUCAUCAACCUCACUAGUCUCUCGAGCUCUCAGAAAUCAUGAUAAGCAGCCCAACAACAAUGAUAUGAUGUAUCAAUAAUGAAUAAGAGAGAGUGAGGCAAAAAUGUGCAAAUAGAACUGUGACUGAGUGCAAAACAAUAAUUUAGCAGAUAAUUUCACAAGUACACGACCUCUAUGGGUCCCAACAUUGUAAACAUAUGAUUUAAACAUGAUUCAUAGAUCAAUUUCUCUAAUAAGGGGAAAAUAUACGGAUAUCAACGGAUUUUUCAACUACACAGUUCCAUGGAGUUGACCAAGUUAUAAUUGCUACGGUGAACGCCCACACGCCCGUCACCUAACAUGUGCGUCACCUCAAAAUCAAUCACAUAAUACAUAAUCCGGGGUUUCAUACCUGCAUGACCAAAUUUAGAACUGUUACUUACCUCAAACCGUGUAAUUCAUUAUUCCGCUAUGCCUUUGCCUCGUGAAUUGGCCUCCAAAUGCCUUGAAUAUAGCCACAAAUAAUUCGAUUCAGUUAAUAAAAAUUGUAGGAGUUAAUUCCAUAUGAAAAUACAAAUUUUCCAUAAAAUUCCGAAAUUUCAUCCAAAAAUCACCCGUGGGGCCCACAUCUUGGAACCCGACAAAGGUUAAAAAAUACGGAAGCCCAUUCAACCACGAGUCUAACCAUAAUAAUUUUACUAAAUCCGACCUCAACUCGACCUCCAAAUCUUCAAAUCUUAUUUUCAAAUCCCCGAUUUACACCUCAAAAAUACGUAAUCUAGUCGGAUUAUUCAAUGAUAAUUCAAUAUUAUGGAGUAGAAAUGAUCACAAGUGACUUACCUCAAGAUUUCCCGUGAUUUCUCGCUCAAAUAUUGCCUCAACCCGUGUUUGGAAUGUCCAAAAAUUGAGAAAAUUAUUUUUCUCAUUUUCGUUUAUAUUUUAUACUAACCAUUUGCAGGUGUUUAAUCGAAGACACCAAAGGAUUCUUCAAACACAUAGUCCUUAGGACUAAAAGCACGCGUUGCACUCUUUUUCCCUUAGACCGGUUUUUGUCCUAAAUGUGUUUUUUCGACGAGGUUUUUUACUAGGCAACCAUUGUUCGUGCUAACUUAGAGCAAUUCAACAGUAUCCGAGGCUCCUUUACAAUCAACCUCGAAUAUUGGGGGGUAUCACCCUCAGAUAAUUACAAGGAAAAUACUUCAUGUCGACAGGGUCUCGAUAGGUAAAGGACCAAACGGUCAAAUGAACCGUGUCCAUGUAGAUUACUCGAGUCCUAAUGGCAAAACAUGUACGCAUGUAUAAUCUAUUGAAAGAAAUAUUUUUCCUUACCAGAUGUUCCUUGACUUAGAGAAAUUUAUACUUUACAAUUUCAUACGUAUGAUCUAUUGUGGAAACUGGCUUAAGGGCAGAUCACAACUGAAGUUCAAAUAAUUUACCCUAUACUCGGGGACUGCCGUCCAAAAAAUCGACAUGAUCGAAUAACUAAACCUCGAAAUCGUAAGACCUUAAAAAGGCAAUCCUCGAUUUUAUAGGCCACGACCACCUCACUCGAGGACUGACACUUCGAACGAGUUCGAAGUAUAGCAGGAAAACAAGCCUAAGGGGCAAAUCCCAAACUAAAGGCUACGGCCAAAUUAACACGGUUCGGAGACGUCCGAAUUCCGUUAUAAAACAGGCCUUCAAAUAUUCUCAUAAACCGAUUAAAAAAGGCAACCCUCGGCUGAAUUACUAAGGGUCUCGAUAAUAUCGACCCUCAAAAAACCCUAAGGGGUAGCGAAUUGUUCGAACUCCCGGACAAUUUUGUGCUAAGGCAUAACAAAGCAAAGGAUUUCGAUAACACCAAUCCUCGAAAAACCUAAUGGGUACAAAUUUAUCUCGUGCUAAGGCAUGACAAAUUUUUAUGAUUAAUUUUUCAAGACGAGGGGGAAAAGCCAUUCUUUUGAGGCCAUAUCGGCCUAAUUCAAGAGCCUAAAGGCCAUUUUAUUUUUUGAGUUCGAGAAAUCGUCCUUACUCAACUAAAACUUAAAGGUAACUCUACUUCGAGUUCGAUCAAGUACUCACUCGAUUUUAAAGACUACACUGAUCCGACUUCGGUCUACUUGCCUAAAGUCCCAAACUUGUGAGCAAAAUCUCCAUAAGGCAUGAAUGCAUGAAUGAAAUAGAAGUUUCACGAGGCAGGAAAUAAAAUAAAGAUAAGUCAAAGAGAAAAAAGAUCUUUUAUCUAUACGAAAAUAUUUACAAGGACCGAUCAGGGUCCCGCACAAAUAAUCAAAAAAGAAAAAGCCUAAGAUUCCUAAUUUUCCUUAUGGGCAACUUCUUCUCCAUCGAUGUCCUCCCCAUUCUCGGACCCGCUCUUGCUGCCAUCAUCAUCAUCGGAAAAGGCCAGCGCUCUAGCAUCAACUUUAUGCUCUUUAGCCUUUAUUAUCUCGUCGGUAAGAUCGAAACCUCGAGAUAGAUCUCCUCGAGGGUUUCCCUUAGAGAUUGGCAUUUGGCGAGUUCAGCAAUCCAAUGUGCUCGAUUUUGAGCGGUCUCGGCUGCCUCUCUCGCUUGAACUUGAGCGGAUUCAGCAUCAGUCCGGUAGACGGCCUCAAUUGCCUAUGCCUCGUCCUUUGCCUUUUCGGCUUCAGAUUUGGCCUUUGCAAGUUCGGAAGACAACCGAGCCUCGAGCUCCUCUAUUUUCUUUGCCUGAGCUGGGAUCUUCUCCUUCAUGCCUAGAAGCUGACUUUCGAUCGCUGACAAUUGGGCUCGAGCAACCUCUUUUUUAACAGCAAAACGGUCCAUACUUUCUUUCCACCCCAAGGUCUCCGCCUUCAUCAUGUUGACCUCCUCGCAGAACUGCUCGAUCCUCUCGACCUUUUGCUGCAGCUGUGAGAUUGAAAUGUUAUCCAUCGUUACCGAAUCAAGCCCAUGAGCUUUUAAGAUUUUCAUUACCUGCUCGAUCAGGUAGGUCUGAUCUUGGUGAGCCUUGGCCAACUCGACUCGAAGGUCCUUGAUCUCCUCUUCUUUUUGCCCACUGACAAGUUUAAGGGCAUUUCUCUCCUCCGUGAGCCCUCGGAGGUCGGCUGUCACGCCCCAAACUCAGGGAGCGCGACCGACGCUCAACUGAGAGAACCCAGCCGGGCAAGCAUAUUAGACUUACUUCUACCCAAACUCAUCCAUGAAUAAAGAGGAGAUGUACUCCAUUAAUCAAUCACUGAAAAGAUUUUAUUAACAACUUCCUUUUCAUUCCCAUUAGUAGCUUCAUUCAUAAUUUCCAAAACAUUACGAGUUUAUAGAAUUAAUGAAUAAUAUAAUUUCCAAGUACCAACAUUUCUAAUUCAAUUUCCAACAUCAACCAUAACCCACAACCUGUCUACAGAGCCUCUAAAUGCAAUAGAAAAGUAAUAUGGAAAUGCAGGCAACAAGGCCCCGGCUAUACCUCAAAAUACUGUACAUGAGAAGCAAAAGAUACAUGACCCCGAAAUGAAGUGGGGCUCACCAAAUCAGCUGAAAAGAGUGUACUGCUAUCACUGAUCAAUGCCGCUUGCUGAAGAAUCACCUGCAUCCAUUAAAGACAGCGCCCCCGGCAAAAGGGACGUUAUUACUGUCGAAUAACACUAGUAUGUAUAGCUAAAAAUCCUCUUUCAAAAUAGAAUGCCCAUAUAAGAAAAGGCAACAUAUAGAAACAACAAGUCACAAUCAACAAUAUCCAAACGUCCAGUUAAAACAUAA